UGCCAGCAGCCGCGGUAAUACGGAGGGUGCGAGCGUUAUCCGGAAUUAUUGGGUUUAAAGGGUGCGUAGGCGGAAAUUUAAGUCAGUGGUGAAAGCCUGCAGCCUAACUGUAGAAUUGCCAUUGAUACUGGAUUUCUUGAAUCUAAUAGAAGUAGGCGGAAUAUGACAUGUAGCGGUGAAAUGCUUAGAUAUGUCAUAGAACACCGAUAGCGAAGGCAGCUUACUAUGUUAGUAUUGACGCUAAUACACGAAGGCUAGGGUAGCGAAAGGGAUUAGAUA
rnacentral:rRNA from 1 species